AAAUAAAUUCUGACAAUUGUUCAUCACCACCAAUAUUUGAAAAUUACAAUGAAUCUCAUAAUGAAGGUAUGUGUUACAUAUUUCAUCAUCACCCGGAGCCGUGGAUUUGUCUCAUACUAUAAUACAUUUAUUACAACAGCAAAUGUUGUUAGUCCAACAAAUUGUACGAGGUCAACCGAUAACCAAUAAGUUAUUAACAAAAUUAAUCAUGAGCAAUGGAGAAUCUAACCACAAUCAACAUUCAGACGAAAAUGUGUAUUUAACAAUCAAUAUUUGCGAUGAGGUAACGCUGCAAAUCUACCCGAUACCAAUGAAUUUUGGCACUUUCUAAUAAAGCUUUUGCAUCCGCUUACAUGUGAACAGAGACUAGUAGAAUAAUGUUGAAUCAUUUUAAGAUGUUUAUUGGAUUUUUCAAAAAAAGAGCAUAGAUAUCAAUGCUUCUUUUAAUUUAUCUUUUCAAUGUUUAAAUACUAAUGAAUUUUGGGACUUUCUAAUAAAGCUUUUGCAUAGGCUUACAUGUGAAGAAAGACUAGUGGAAUAAUGUUGAAUAACUUUCAGAUGUUUAUUGGUUUUGUCAAAAAAAGAGCAUAGAAAUCAAUACUUAUUUUGAUUUAUGUUUUC